AUGAUUCGUUUGGGUCUAAUUGUAUUGCUGUCCUGGGGCUCUGUGGGGUGUGUUUGUGAACAGAGCCCCAGGACCAGCUUGCUUAGGGGACUCUUCUCCAGGUUAAUCUCUCUGUAGGGUGUGUUUGUGAACAGAGCCCCAGGACCAGCUUGCUUAGGGGACUCUUCUCCAGGUUCAUCUCUCUGUAGGGUGUGUUUGUGAACAGAGCCCCAGGACCAGCUUGCUUAGGGGACUCUUCUCCAGGUUCAUCUCUCUGUAGGGUGUGUUUGUGAACAGAGCCCCAGGACCAGCUUGCUUAGGGGACUCUUCUCCAGGUUCAUCUCUCUGUAGGGUGUGUUUGUGAACAGAGCCCCAGGACCAGCUUGCUUAGGGGACUCUUCUCCAGGUUCAUCUCUCUGUAGGGUGUGUUUGUGAACAGAGCCCCAGGACCAGCUUGCUUAGGGGACUCUUCUCCAGGUUCAUCUCUCUGUA